rnacentral:rRNA from 1 species
AUUGAACGCUGGCGGCAUGCCUUACACAUGCAAGUCGAACGGCAGCGGGGGAGAAGCUUGCUUUUCCUGCCGGCGAGUGGCGAACGGGUGAGUAAUACAUCGGAACGUGCCCUGUAGUGGGGGAUAACUAGUCGAAAGAUUAGCUAAUACCGCAUACGACCCGAGGGUGAAAGUGGGGGACCGCAAGGCCUCAUGCUAUAGGAGCGGCCGAUGUCUGAUUAGCUAGUUGGUGGGGUAAAGGCCUACCAAGGCGACGAUCAGUAGCUGGUCUGGGAGGACGAUCAGCCACACUGGGACUGAGACACGGCCCAGACUCCUACGGGAGGCAGCAGUGGGGAAUUUUGGACAAUGGGCGAAAGCCUGAUCCAGCAAUGCCGCGUGUGUGAAGAAGGCCUUCGGGUUGUAAAGCACUUUUGUCCGGAAAGAAAUGGCUCUGGUUAAUACCUGGGGUCGAUGACGGUACCGGAAGAAUAAGGACCGGCUAACUACGUGCCAGCAGCCGCCGUAA